AAAAAUGACUCUCGGCAACGGAUAUCUCGGCUCUCGCAUCGAUGAAGAACGUAGCGAAAUGCGAUACUUGGUGUGAAUUGCAGAAUCCCGUGAACCAUCGAGUCUUUGAACGCAAGUUGCGCCCCAAGCCUUUAGGCCGAGGGCACGCCUGCCUGGGUGUCACAC
rnacentral:rRNA from 1 species